GAUGAACGCUGGCGGCGUGCCUAAUACAUGCAAGUCGAGCGAACAGACGAGGAGCUUGCUCCUCUGACGUUAGCGGCGGACGGGUGAGUAACACGUGGAUAACCUACCUAUAAGACUGGUAUAACUUCGGGAAACCGGAGCUAAUACCGUAUAAUAUAUUGAACCGCAUGGUUCAAUAGUGAAAGACGGUUUUGCUGUCACUUAUAGAUGGAUCCGCGCCGCAUUAGCUAGUUGGUAAGGUAACUGCUUACCAAGGCAACGAUGCGUAGCCGACCUGAGAGGGUGGUCGGCCACACUGGAGCUGGGCCACGGUCCAGACUCCUACGGGAGGCAGCAGUAGGGAAUCUGCCGCAAUGGGCGAAAGCUUGGCGGAGCAGCGCCGAGUGAGUGGUGGAAGUGUUCGGAUCGUAAAACUCUGUUAUUAGGGAAGAACAAAUGUGUAAGUAGCUAUACACGUCUUGACGGUACCUAGUCAGAAAGCAACGGCUAACUACGUG
rnacentral:rRNA from 1 species